rnacentral:lncRNA from 1 species
GGAGAAGGAAGGGAAGAAGGGAAAGCCACUGAAUGGCCCACUUGAGACCAGAAAAGAGAACAACACUGUCAGUCUGGAGUAAGUGACAAAAAUAAGAAAGGGAAGUCUAUCCUGAUGCCCAGCCAGGGAAAAAUGGGAAGAAAGAGAAGAGAAGAGAAGAGACAGAGAGGUUAUCGCAGGAGUGGGACUGGUGACUAAAGAGGAAAUGAGACCUAAGCUAGCCUCCUUGCCAUGUGAUACUCUGCACCACCUUGAGACUCUGCAGAGAGUACCCACCAACAAGGAAGCUCUCACCAGAUGCGCCCCCUUGACCUUGGACUUCUCCACCUCCAGAACAGUACAAAAUAAAUUUCAUUUCUCAUAAAUUACUCAGUUUCAGAAAUCCUGUUUAAGCAACAGAAAAUGGACUAAGCUACUGCCCUGCUGAUCAGCCAGCCACCUGUACAUGUGCACACCCAGAUGACAUAUGCAAGAAUGUUCAGACCAUGGUAGAUGUUUCCAAAGAUGGCCCCCAUCAAGUCCUUACCCCUGUGCAUGCAUAUGCCCCUUCUCCCAUUCAGUUACCCCCCUUCCCUUGAGACUGAGUUGGUG